rnacentral:rRNA from 1 species
GACGUAGGAGGCGAGCGUUAUCCGGAUUCACUGGGCGUAAAGCGCAUGUAGGCGGUCGUCUAAGUCCGCGGUUAAAGCCCCCGGCUCAACUGGGGGAGGUCCGAGGAGACUAGUCGACUUGAGGGCAACAGAGGCACGUGGAACUCCCGGUGUAGCGGUGAAAUGCGUAGAUAUCGGGAGGAACACCUGAGGCGAAGGCGGGCUACUGGGCCGAUACUGACGCUGAUGCGCGAAAGCCAGGGGAGCGAACGGG